rnacentral:rRNA from 1 species
UUUUUUUUAAUAGAGAGUUGGGCCUGCUCGGUGAUUUAUAUUUAACAGCUGCGGUAUUAUAACUGUACUAAGGUAGCAUAAUAAUUUGCUCUAUAAAUUGGGGCUAGAAUGAAUGGUUUGACGAAAAUUAAGCUGUCUCUGUUUUAUUUGUUAGAAAUUAAUUUUUAUAGUGAAAAAGCUUGGAUGAUUUAAAGGGACGAGAAGACCCUAUUGAGCUUAUAUUAUUAUGUAAAUUCGGUUAUGUAUAUAAUUUUUUAGGAGUUUAUUAUUUAUAAUUUUGGUUGGGGUGAUCAAGGAAUAAAAGAUUUUUAGUUUAGUGUAUAACUUCCUUAAAGUUAUGAGUUUUAUAGAAUAAUAAACCAAGUUUUUUGCUUAUAGGUAAGUUACCAUAGGGAUAACAGCGUAAUUUUUUUUGAGAGUUCUUAUUGAAAAAAGAGAUUGCGACCUCGAUGUUGGAUUAGGAUAACCUUAAGGUGUAGAGGCUUUAUUAGGUAAAUCUGUUCGAUUUUUAAAA